UAUGUAGGGUGCAAGCGUUAAUCGGAAUUACUGGGCGUAAAGCGUGCGCAGGCGGCUUUGCAAGACAGAUGUGAAAUCCCCGGGCUCAACCUGGGAACUGCAUUUGUGACUGCAUGGCUAGAGUACGGUAGAGGGGGAUGGAAUUCCGCGUGUAGCAGUGAAAUGCGUAGAUAUGCGGAGGAACACCGAUGGCGAAGGCAAUCCCCUGGACCUGUACUGACGCUCAUGCACGAAAGCGUGGGGAGCAAAAGGG
rnacentral:rRNA from 1 species